rnacentral:rRNA from 1 species
CAGCCGUAAACGAUGUGCGUUAGGUGUGUCGGUAACCACGUGUUACUGAUGCGCCGAAGAGAAAUCGUGAAACGCACCACCUGGGAAGUACGGUCGCAAGGCUGAAACUUAAAGGAAUUGGCGGGGGAGCACCACAACAGGUGGAGCCUGCGGUUUAAUUGGACUCAACGCCGGGAAGCUCACCGGAUAGGACAGCAGAAUGAUUGCCGGGCUGAAGACCCUGCCUGAAUCGCUGAGAGGAGGUGCAUGGCGUAGACGU